rnacentral:rRNA from 1 species
CAAGUCGAGCGGAGUGAGGUGCUUGCACCUUAUCUUAGCGGCGGACGGGUGAGUAAUGCUUAGGAAUCUGCCUAUUAGUGGGGGACAACAUUCCGAAAGGAAUGCUAAUACCGCAUACGUCCUACGGGAGAAAGCAGGGGAUCUUCGGACCUUGCGCUAAUAGAUGAGCCUAAGUCGGAUUAGCUAGUUGGUGGGGUAAAGGCCUACCAAGGCGACGAUCUGUAGCGGGUCUGAGAGGAUGAUCCGCCACACUGGGACUGAGACACGGCCCAGACUCCUACGGGAGGCAGCAGUGGGGAAUAUUGGACAAUGGGGGGAACCCUGAUCCAGCCAUGCCGCGUGUGUGAAGAAGGCCUUAUGGUUGUAAAGCACUUUAAGCGAGGAGGAGGCUACUGAGACUAAUACUCUUGGAUAGUGGACGUUACUCGCAGAAUAAGCACCGGCUAACUCUGUGCCAGCAGCCGCGGUAAUACAGAGGGUGCGAGCGUUAAUCGGAUUUACUGGGCGUAAAGCGUGCGUAGGCGGCUUUUUAAGUCGGAUGUGAAAUCCNCCGAGCUUAACUUGGGAAUUGCAUUCGAUACUGGGAAGCUAGAGUAUGGGAGAGGAUGGUAGAAUUCCAGGUGUAGCGGUGAAAUGCGUAGAGAUCUGGAGGAAUACCGAUGGCGAAGGCAGC